GACGGAGGGGGCAAGCGUUGUCCGGACUCACUGGGCGUAAAGGGUGCGUAGGCGGUUGUGUGCGUCGGCGCUGAAAUCACAGGGCUUAACUCUGUGGCGCGUGCCGAUACGACACGACUUGAGGCUCUGAGAGGGUGGCGGAACUCCUGGUGUAGUGGUGAAAUGCGUAGAUAUCUGGAGGAACAUCAGUGGCGAAGGCGACACCCUGGACUCAUACUGACACUGAGGUGCGAAAGCGUGGGGAGCAAACAGG
rnacentral:rRNA from 1 species